UAGGGAAUCUUCCGCAAUGGGCGAAAGCCUGACGGAGCAACGCCGCGUGAGUGAAGAAGGAUUUCGGUUCGUAAGGCUCUGUUGUUAGGGAAGAAUGAUUGUGUAGUAACUAUACACAGUAGAGACGGUACCUAACCAGAAAGCCACGGCUAACUACGUGCCAGCAGCCGCGGUAAUACGUAGGUGGCAAGCGUUGUCCGGAAUUAUUGGGCGUAAAGCGCGCGCAGGUGGUUUAAUAAGUCUGAUGUGAAAGCCCACGGCUCAACCGUGGAGGGUCAUUGGAAACUGUUAAACUUGAGUGCAGGAGAGAAAAGUGGAAUUCCUAGUGUAGCGGUGAAAUGCGUAGAGAUUAGGAGGAACACCAGUGGCGAAGGCGGCUUUUUGGCCUGUAACUGACACUGAGGCGCGAAAGCGUGGGGAGCAAACAGGAUUAGAUACCCUGGUAGUCCACGCCGUAAACGAUGAGUGCUAAGUGUUGGUCUCAUAAGAGAUCAGUGCUGCAGCUAACGCAUUAAGCACUCCGCCUGGGGAGUACGACCGCAAGGUUG
rnacentral:rRNA from 1 species